UUUAAAAUUACGUAUAUGACUGAUGUUCUAUUUCUACUGGACACCACUAGUUUAAGCUAUAUAAUCUUAAAACAUUGGUAAAGGAUUAUGGUUGCCUGCUUACCGCCUGUCUGAGGUCCCCAAGACCGCUUCUGGGUUCAGUGAUUCACAAGGAGGACUCCUAGAUCUCAGCAUAUAGUCAUCCUCAUGCUAUGACUUCUUAUAGUGAAAGCUCACAAAGCAAAAUCAGCAAAGGGAAAAGGUGGAUGAGACAAGGUCUGGAGGAAACCAGGAGCAAGCUUCCAAGAGUCCUCUCCCAGCUGAGUCACAUAGGAUGUGCUUAAUUCCUCUACCAAUGAACUGUGACAACACAUGUUGUCAAAAAUGCCAUCUGCCAGGGAGGCUCAAGAGACACUCAUUGCCCAGGGCUUUUCCUGGGAGCUAGCCAAGUAGGCAUCCUCUGUUUUGUAUGUACCAAAAUUCUGGACUUCCAGAAGGAGAGCAGGUUAUUGUUGGGCUGGAAGAUUGUAGUGCUGGAGGAGCACUAUGUAACAACCUUCAUAAAUCAUCACUUAACAAUGAACAACCCACAUCCUACUUCCAGUGAGUUAACUAACAAUACAUCAAACUGCAUCAAACCAAUGAGGACUAGAAGGAACUGAUAAACUCUAGAGCAGAAGAACAAGAUGGGAUGGCUGUUUUGGUUUGAAAUGAGCAAGGACAUGAAGUUCAGAGUCUGCGUAUUACCAUGCCCAUGCACAUUCCCCAGGAGGUCAAGAGGCUGGGAUAACCUCUCUGGGGCCCUAACCUUAUUCAGACAUACUCUACCACCGCCUGCCUGGGUAGCUUCAGCCAAAGCAGAUUCAUCCUUCUGGGCCAUGACCCUCCUGGUGGGAGGUGUUAAAUAGGGUCAAUGGCCUUCUGCCCUGCUGGCUCAGGAAGCCUUUCAGAGGGCUCUGAUAGAGUGUUGGAGCAGAAAGAUGCUAGAACAUGAACUUCAAUGAGAACUGAGGAUAUUUCCCCCUUCCAAUUCAUUCUUUCUCUCCAAAGCCAUGCCUUGUCAGUGCCUUUUCCUCAUGUUACUGAGGUCUUAAACUUACUAAGCCUACUGGUGCUACGCGCUUUCCCAGCUGCUGAGGGUUCAAGGACUCAGAGUGGAUAAGGAGUGAGUCCUGCCCAUAAGAGGCUUGCAGUCUGGUAGGAGGUGACCAUAAACCGGCUACGCAGGGUGACGGUUACUCUCGGAGGGGAAAAUGGCAAUAGGGAGCAGGAAACCUAGCUUAGCUCAGUGGCUGCAGGGCCGGCUUCCAGGUAGAAGUAAUUGGCAAUCUGGGAAGGAGUAGGAAGAGUCCUUUACGGAGAGAGACGAGGGAGAUGUUUGGAGCGGAAGAAACAAUUUCAUCAAAGGCUGAGUGGCCUCUACCAGUUUUAAUACUCUGCAUUCUUCAUGGCUGAAGCAGAGAGUUCAAGGUGAAAAGUGACAAGAGGUAAGCCUGGAGAGGUAAACAAGGGCAGAUGGAGAUGGGCUUUGAUGACCUUGGACUUCAUCCUGAGGACAGCAGACAGAAGCAACCUCUUUCCCCACAUCACUUUGUUUUGUUAUUCUUUUAUUACUUUUCACAAUUUUAAGUGAUCUCAUUCUUUUUUUAUCUACCUAUUUUUUAAUUUAUCUACCUAUCUAAGGUCUAUCCCCUUCCUCCAACUCGAAUGUAAACAACAGAGGGUGGGACCAGGAUGAGGGAGAGGGGAUGGAGUGGAGGGGGAAAGGGAAAGGCAAACAUGUUUUUAAUAGCCAUUGUGCGUGUGCGCGCACGCGCGCAUGCGCGCAACACGGUGCUAGGCACCUUUCAGAUAUUCUUUGAGCAGGGCCCUGUUAUCACCCCCAUUUUACAAGGGAGGAAACAGACUCCGAGGGAUGAAGUACCUGCCCAAAGUUAUUAAAUGUGUCAAAUGUGGAAAUGGAUCCUCUCUCCAUUACGGAAGAAGGGGUAUAGAAGGGGAUAGGAGAAGAGAAAAGGAAGAGGAGGAGAGCCAUGGUGGGGAGAAAGGAGCAGGAAGUAAGGUGUGGGGGCCCUGGCACGCUGCCAGGCAAGGGCAAUGGGCCCAGAGUUGUUCUCACAUCCCAGAAGGCUGAUGGGGGAUGUUUAUGAGAAAUCUCAACAUUCAGAAGGAGCAUGACCUCCCAGCCUGCCUGUUCCUGCCCCGUGACUGCUCCUGGCUAUAAACAGCCUGUUUAUUAACCCCAGGAAACUGGCUCCUUUACCACUUAGCUUUAUCUCCCGGGAUGGGCGGGCUGGAAGAGCAGGGGGUGCCUGGCCAAGAGGAGGAGCGGCUACUGGAAACCCAGUGAUCCUUAAAGAGCGGGGUCAAAAGAAGCCACAGAGAGCUCACAUUCUGUUUACCUCCACCCCCUUGCAGAACUGUCCAAGGCUGCAUGGUGGGUUAAUGGGCCCUAAAAACCCUUGACCCAAUGGUUGCCACUUUAAGGAAAUUAAAGUUUGACUCAUCUCAUUAUUCUUCCUAAUGACCACCAUCAUUAGAGCUCUAAUGCUGAAAUCAAAUAAAAU